ACCGGUCUCCGGUAGUGGCCUCCGGGCCUCCGGCAUCUCGUCGGUGGUCCCGGGCGCUUCGAUCGAAGACCGGC
rfam:Verrucosispora maris AB-18-032, complete genome.